rnacentral:rRNA from 1 species
CCUACGGGUGGCAGCAGUGGGGAAUAUUGGACAAUGGGCGAAAGCCUGAUCCAGCCAUGCCGCGUGUGUGAAGAAGGCCUUCGGGUUGUAAAGCACUUUCAGUGGGGAAGAAAGCCUUGGGGCUAAUACCCUCGAGGAAGGACAUCACCCACAGAAGAAGCACCGGCUAACUCCGGGCCAGCAGCCGCGGUAAUACGGAGGGUGCGAGCGUUAAUCGGAAUUACUGGGCGUAAAGCGCGCGUAGGCGGUCUGAUAAGCCGGUUGUGAAAGCCCCGGGCUCAACCUGGGAACGGCAUCCGGAACUGUCAGGCUAGAGUGCAGGAGAGGAAGGUAGAAUUCCCGGUGUAGCGGUGAAAUGCGUAGAGAUCGGGAGGAAUACCAGUGGCGAAGGCGGCCUUCUGGACUGACACUGACGCUGAGGUGCGAAAGCGUGGGUAGCAAACAGGAUUAGAUACCCUGGUAGUC